UUCCCUUAUAAUGAUAAUCUUUUUUAUGCUUUUUAAUAUUUGUCCUGUAAUAGAUUAAAUCACAUAAUUUAAAUCAAAGCAACUCUGAUAUAUGUCUGUCUGUUUAUGUGUUUACAAAUUCCAUCAUUUAGUAAUUAUUUACUUGCAUUUCUUGGCUUUUGGAAAUGCGUAUCAUCACUUUGCUUAUAUCCAGCCAUCCAUCUUGUUUCUUUCAUAACUUACCAAGUCCUUCCUCGCUCUCCAGGCCUCAGCAUCACCAGACCUUGGGAGCAGCAGCCCAGUGCCAACACCAGGCCACAAGACCCCAGGCUGCCCAGCACACUGCCAGUGCCGGGGAUCUUCAGACCCGUCUCCAGCCUUAGGGAAUGGAGGGCGGAGGGCUGCAGUGGCGGUGGCGGCUAUAGUAAUGUAUUUGAGUCAACAAGAGGAAGAAGAAGAAGGAGGAGGAGGAAUUGAUAAUAAGAGGAAUACCAAAAGAAGAACAAGAAUUUGAACAGUAGUAAUAGUAUUUGACUCUACACAUUCUCUCUCUCUCUCUCUCUCUCUCUCUCUCUCUCACACACACACACACACACA